AUUGAACGCUGGCGGCAUGCUUUACACAUGCAAGUCGAACGGUAACAGGUUAAGCUGACGAGUGGCGAACGGGUGAGUAAUGCAUCGGAACGUGCCCGGUCGUGGGGGAUAACGCAGCGAAAGCUGCGCUAAUACCGCAUACGAUCUGAGGAUGAAAGCGGGGGACCGUACGGCCUCGCGCGAUCGGAGCGGCCGAUGUCAGAUUAGGUAGUUGGUGGGGUAAAGGCUCACCAAGCCAAAGACCUGUAGCUGGUCUGAGGGGACGACCAGCCACACUGGGGAUGAGACCAGGCCCAGACUCCUACGGGAGGCAGCAGUGGGGAAUGUUGGACAAUGGGCGAAAGCCUGAUCCAGCAAUGCCGCGUGCAGGAAGAAGGCCUUCGGGUUGUAAACUGCUUUUGUACGGAGCGAAAAGGUCUCCUCUAAUACAGGGGGCUCAUGACGGUACCGUAAGAAUAAGCACCGGCUAACUACGUGCCAGCCGCCGCCGUAA
rnacentral:rRNA from 1 species